rnacentral:rRNA from 1 species
GAUGAACGCUGGCGGCGUGCCUAAUACAUGCAAGUCGAGCGAACGGACGAGAAGCUUGCUUCUCUGAUGUUAGCGGCGGACGGGUGAGUAACACGUGGAUAACCUACCUAUAAGACUGGGAUAACUUCGGGAAAUCGGAGCUAAUACCGGAUAAUAUUUUGAACCGCAUGGUUCAAAAGUGAAAGACGGUCUUGCUGUCACUUAUAGAUGGAUCCGCGCUGCAUUAGCUAGUUGGUAAGGUAACGGCUUACCAAGGCAGCGAUGCAUAGCCGACCUGAGAGGGUGAUCGGCCACACUGGAACUGAGACACGGUCCAGACUCCUACGGGAGGCAGCAGUAGGGAAUCUUCCGCAAUGGGCGAAAGCCUGACGGAGCAACGCCGCGUGAGUGAUGAAGGUCUUCGGAUCGUAAAACUCUGUUAUUAGGGAAGAACAUAUGUGUAAGUAACUGUGCACAUCUUGACGGUACCUAAUCAGAAAGCCACGGCUAACUACGUG